rnacentral:rRNA from 1 species
UACGUAGGUGGCGAGCGUUGUCCGGAAUUACUGGGUGGAACGGGCGUGUAGGCGGGUCGGCAAGUCAGUUGUGGAAUACCACGGGUCAACUGUGGGGGUGGAUCUGAAACUGCCGAUCUUCUGUGCUCGAGAGGAAAGAGGAAUUCCACGUGUAGCGGUGAAAUGCGUAGAUAUGUGGAGGAACACCAGUGGCGAAGGCGGCGGUCUGGACAGUAACUGACGCCGAGGCGCGAAAGGGUGGGGAGCAAAUAGG